AGCACCUUGGUUGCUUGGUUAGUUAAAAUCAGGACACAUUGGGGAAGGAGAGGCUUGAAUUAGUUAGUGAAAUUAAAAAGAAGAAUAAUGCAAAGAUAAUCACAGAAAAAUGUCCAAAACCUUUUCAAGUUGAAGACUCGAAGUGGUGACCCUCAGCCCAUCUGUCAGUGUCCUCAGAGAAAGGUGGCCUGCAUUAUUCAAUGAGGCUCAAAUCAAAGAAGAGUUCCGUCGUAUAACUUCAAUUUCCUUGGAAGAGACGUUCAUGCUGAAACUUGAUGGGUACACACCACAUCUUCUGCAGCUGAUGUGUGCAAAAGGAGGAGCUGCUGGUUCUAGGAUGCAUCCUCUCCUGGACACUGUAAAUGAGGUCCCAGAGCAUUGAGAAAAAAGGGAUGCAGUUGCUUGUUGCCUCAUUGAGUACCUUGGGGAACGGCAAGAAGAGCUUUUCCAAGACCGCCAGGAAUGUAAUUAAAUGAUUGAUCAAGGACGAAUAUGAGGACUACACGGACCAAACCAUGAAGGUGAUAGUGAUCCAUAAUGUCACGGCUGAGGAGGAUCCAACAGAAGUGUCCGUUGUGAUCGACAGCAACCAAGUGCUGAGUGGGUGUGGAAACUGAACCAAGGCAUGUAUGCUGUUGAUGGGAUUGAUCUAUGGCCUCAACCUUGAAUAUCCCAAGACGCUCAAGAACACCUUCGAAGUAUUCCAGAAACUUUUUCUGGAGCUUGAUGGAGCAAAGCUGCUCAAGAAGGUCCACAGCCUCAAAAAUAAGCUAAUGGAAUGAACUGUUUGCAAGGAUGUUCUGGCACAGAAACUUGUACUUUUGAAACUGUAAUGGAGUUCUGAAAUGUGUGAUCUUGUUGUGCAUAAUGUUGCACAUGUUCUUCAAGAAACUUCCAGAUUUGAAGUUGUUGACAUCUUCUCUUGCCUCUGCCCUCUCCCUUCCUCUCUUCCUGUCCGCUACAGCAAUGGCUUAUCCACGUAUCGGUGGAAAUGUUUUGUGAUCCAGUUGUUCCAUUUGAAGCUGUUAAUGGCAUUAGGACUGUAUUGAGUAUUUGGGUGAAAAAUCCUGAAAUCCACGUUUGAGGUGUUCCAGAUGUGUUUUUUCAUUUAAAUAUGCAGAGUGAAGAGGGUUCUU